GGGUCCCUGCUAUGUUCGUGAUAGGUCUUUUUAAACCCACAUUUAUAAUAAGGGACGCCGGACUCUUGCUGUGAAUUGCAGGCCUCCCCAUAGCGGACGUUGGAAGCAGAGAAGCAACAAGGAGGCGACCCACCUGCCGAUUGUGCAGGUUAUAAAUGGGCUUACACGGCAUUGGCGGGGAAACU
rnacentral:other from 1 species